rnacentral:rRNA from 1 species
UACGUAGGGGGCAAGCGUUGUCCGGAUUUAUUGGGCGUAAAGAGCGUGUAGGCGGCUAGGUAGGUCCGUUGUGAAAACUCGAGGCUCAACCUCGAGACGUCGAUGGAAACCAUCUAGCUAGAGUCCGGAAGAGGAGAGUGGAAUUCCUGGUGUAGCGGUGAAAUGCGCAGAUAUCAGGAAGAACACCCGUGGCGAAGGCGGCUCUCUGGGCCGAUACUGACGCUGAGGAGCGAAAGCGUGGGGAGCGAACAGG